UUCGCCCUGUCUCCAGGCUGGAGUGCAGUGGCAUGAUCUCAGCUCACUGCAACCUCCGACUGCCUAGUUCAAGUGAUUCUCCUGCCUCAGCCUCCCGAGCAGCUGGGAUUACAGGGGUGUGCCACCACAUGCAGCUAAUUACUGUAUUUUUAGUAGAGACGGUGUUUCACCAUGUUGGCCAGGAUGGUAUCGAUCUCCUGACCUCAUGAUCUGCCCGCCUUAGCCUCCCAAAGUGCUGGGAUUACAAGCAUUAGCCACCACGCCCAGCCUACUCUUUUAUUCCAUUUAAACUAUAUGUAGACUAUAAAUUCAGCAUUACAGAACAUGAAAAUAAUUUCUUAAGUUUGUGCAUAUUAUUAAAGACUUUGGAGAUUAUUGAAUAUACUUGUGCAAAAAUCUUUAUUUUUCUAAGUAUAAUGUAUUGAAAAGCACACAUAGGCUUUGGAGAUACAGAAGUGGAUUUGAAUCUCAGCUCUUACACUGACUAGUCUGUGCCCUGGGACAAUUUACAUCAUUGUCAUGAGCUGUAUUUUUAGUCUAUAAAAAUAGAAUUGAUUAUUACAUUACUGUGAGGAUUAAAUGAGAUAAUAUGUAAAAUGUCUAACAUACCACCUGCUACCUCUGAAAGGUCUGUACAAGUGUUGGUCUUUUUCUCUCCCUUUCUCCUUUUUAUUACUUUUAUUAAAAGAACAUGGACUAUCAUGUUUUAAUAUGUCAUAUGUCUAGAACUCUGCUAAACAUUUUAAGAUAUAUUAUAUUACAAAAUCCUCAGAAGGACCUCAGUAGACCUUAUUAUUCCAAUUUGGAAAAUAAGGAAACUGAGACUCACAGAGCUGAAAUAUCUUGUUCAAAGGUCCAUCAGCCAGUAAAUGGUAGAUUCUGGUUUCCAACCUAAGGCCCGGAUUUGAACCUAGGAGAAUCUGACUUCUUAAUCUUUUCCUCCAAAAGAAUUCCCAAAGCAUCCUUCUUGACUCUAUGAUAAGGGAAUAAAACAACAUAGAAAACGUUUCAUCAUGGCCUGAAGAUGUAAAAGAGUUUGAGAAGAAGGAUUGAGUUUGACACUGUGAAAGCCAACUAUGUGCCAAUUGCUACAAGUAACCAACUAGUUUGCUGACACCUAAAGCGGGGCAGGGCUAGUAGGUGGAAAGCAGCUCUCCCUGACAUCCUCAAACAUAGUGAACUGAAAGCAAAGAGGAUAUUCAUUGCAGUUCACAGGGGUCCUAAGAGCUGCUCAGAAAAGCAAUCAUCUUAAUAACUGUAGAAAUCUGAUCUUCCAGAAAACUUUUGCACCGACUUGCAGAUUGUUGCUAAAUGUAUGUCUCUUACAGAUGUGUUCACGCUUACAUUGGUUGAUGUUCCCUGUAGGAAAAGGUAAACCAUCUCCUUUCUUCAGAAUACUAAAAGAGGAUAAUUCAAAAAGCAAAAUGACCCAUCCUAGUAUUUAACUAUGGUUGGUAUCAUACUCUCCACUAGACUCCCUUUUCCUUUCUUCUUAGCUGUGAACUUCUCCUUUUUGAAACCUAGAUUGAAUAUAUUGUCUUCCUAGAAGAUUUUCCUGGCUUUCUCCCAUCCCUACGUCCGUAGGGUUCAUCACACCCUCCUCUGAAACCACUGUAUUUUGUAUGUCUUCCUGUUGAUAUAGUUAUUGUACUAUACCGGAAUAAAUUUACACAAGUCUUUUUGUCCUAGCACAUAGCAGGUGUUCAACAAAUGUUUAUGGAGUAUUGAUUAUAGAGUCAAAUUCCUGAAAAUAGAUUGGGUCUUAGUAAUGUCAAUUUUCGCAAUGCCUGGCACAAUGCUUAGCCUAGAGUAUGUGCUCAGUAAUUUUUAAAAAAAUAAAUGCAUAAGUGAUGACUGUAAAAGUCCCUGAAAAAUGCCACUUUACUCAAGUUUAUUAGAGAAUGAAGGAUUCUUACAUAGAAUUAGAGGUUUUAAAAGGACGUUUAAGGGAGAUGGAAGGUAGAAUAUGUCCCAGGGUUAAUAUGGCACAAACUUAUAAAAAGCCUCAAAGUAUAGCAUAAGCUGAGCUGACAGCAAAUGCCACACCACCAAUAACAACAAAAAUCACUCUUUAUAACAUGUAUAGGAAGAAAUUCACCACUACUCUAAUAUUAAAGGUAAAAUAGAAAGCAGAACUAUGACUCCUGGCUUGUUGCAUCUUCUCCUUGAAUGGACAUUGUCUUCAAAGGGCAAAGAGUAGAAAAAAAAAAAAGUACAUCAUGUAGAAGCAACUGAAACAAGUUGACUAGGUGCAUCUUUCAUCUCAAGUUGACAAAGAUGGCCCUGAGAGCUGUAAGAAAAUAUCGAGUGGGUCUCUUUAAAGUAGUUCAAAUGCCCAGACCCAGAUUCUGAAAGUGAUUGAAAUGGGAAAAAACAUUAGGGUAUUACUGAUUCCUAAAAGGGCAAAUGUGGGUAGCUUUUGUAAACAAAAAAUAGGUAGACUUAGUGUCAAUCUUUGAAAGAAAAGACGAAAAAAAUAAUUAAACAGAUUACUCUUGAGCACUUAGCACAUAAUAUGGUGAUCCUUAGAAGCCAGACUAACAUCACUGAACAUGAGAAAUAACAAACUAACAAUUAUGUGUUGGUAUAGCGACUAUAUUAUGGCAGGAAAAUACUAACAAUAGCCACAAUUUAAUAAGUAACAGCUGUGGGCCAGGUAAUGUGCUCUGCAUAAUAUAUUUUUAUUUUCAUUAAAAUAUUAACAUAAUCUUUCAGGAUAUUUUUGUGGGUGAGAGAAAUUGGGGUUAAAUAAUGGGCAUAUUUAAAACUGGUUGAAAAGUUGUACCUAAAGAGAUUAUAGUCUGAAGUAAGAUGGUCUUAUUCUGUCUACAUUGUUGUAUUACAUGAAUGCUAGAAGCAAGGUAUGUUUAUUACAAUUGUAGAUGACUCAGAGCUAGAAAUAACUAUUAAUAGGAUAAAAUGACAGAAUCAAUAUUUCUUAAUUACCCAAUGAGAAACUAGUAAGAAACCAGUAUAACAACAGAUAAGUAGACAUUUCUGAAUUCAAGUUUCCUAAAAAAUUUGUUUAAUUCAUAGACUGUUUUAUAGAACAGCUUUAUGUUUAUAGAAAACUUGAACAGAAAGUGCAGAGAGUUCCAUAUACCUGCCCCACCCUCCCUCCACACACAUAUACAGUUUCCCCUUUAUUAAUAUCUUGCAUUAAUGUGGUAUAUUUGUUACAUUUGAAAGCCAAUAUUGAUACAUUAUUAUUAACUAAAGUCCAUUGUUUACUUUCGGGUUCCCUGUUUGUGUUGUACAGUUCUGCCGGUUUUGACAAAUGCAUAAUGCUGUGUUUCCAAUAUUAAAGUAUUAUACAGAAUAUAGUUUCAAUGCCCUAGAAACCCCCUGUGCUCCACCCGUUCAUCCCUUCUCCCUUUCCAACCCUUAACCACUGAUCUUUUUAUAUCUCUAUAGUUUUGCCUUUUCCAGAAUGUCACAUAGUUGAAGUCAUAUAGUAUGUAGCCUUUCAGACUUCUUUCCCUUAGUGGUGGGCAUUUAAGGUACUUUUAUGACUUUUCAUGGAUUGAGAGCUCAUUGCGUUUUAUCUCUAAAUAAUGUUCUAUUCUGUGGCUGCACCAUGGUUUGUUUAUCCGUUAAACCUAUGAAAGGCAUAUUGGUUACUUCUAGUUUUUGGCUAAUAUGAAUUAAGUUGCUACAAACAUUCACAUGCAGGUUUUUGUGUGGACAUAAGUUUUGAACUCAUUUGGAUAAAUAACCAGGAAUGCGAUUGCUGGAUCAUAUGAUAAGACCGUGUUUAGGGUUGUAAGAAACUGCCAAACUGCCUUCCAAAGAGGCUGUACAAUUUUGCAUUCCUACCAGCAAUGAAUGAGAGUUUCUAUUGCUCCACGGCAUUUGUAGCCAGUGUUUUGUAUUUUAAUCAUUCUAAUAGCUGUGUAGUGGUACUGAAAUCAGGUCUUAAAAAUGAGUUUCAUGUAUAGAGAAAGGAAGGGAUCUCCUUAAGAAAUGGCUCAAAUGGGGGGAAAAGUUCUUGGUAGAGUCUAUGGAUCAUAAGCUCGAUGUAUCAAAAGCCUGAUGCAAAUGCUAAUAAAAAUCAAAACAAAACCAAAAACAACUUGAGGUAUGUUGAUCCUGUCGGUUUCCUACUCAUGCGAUAGAGUGAUCACAUUAUGCUCUGUUAGUCAGGGUAUAUAUAGAGAAUGGUAGACAGGUCAGUUUGGGGCACAUGGUACAGUGACAGCUCUGACAUGUUAAUCCAGAUGUGGAGGUUGUAUUUAUGAUAUCAGUCAUUUCAACACAAAAGAUAAAUGUGUUGGGUGAUAGGUAGCCCAGUUAUCCCGAUUUUAUCAUUAUACUUGUAUACAUGUAUCAAAAUAUCACAUGUAUCCCCAAAAUAUGGACCACUAUUAUAUACCAAUAAAAAGGGGAAAAAAUGUCGUGUAAAAGAGGAACAGGACAAAGGAAAUCUAUAAAAAUAUUUCAACAAAUGUCAUGUUAAAGGGAUUACAUUUUUUGUGUUUCCAGAUUACUAAAGAAAACCUCCCUGGUCUCAAAUAUAAAAUGGCGAUAAUUUUACUAAUCCUCUGGGAUUUUUGGUAGAAAUUAUCUGGGAUAAUGUCUAUGAAGAGUUUAGCAUACUGCCUGACACAUGAUAACUGUUCAGCAUUGCACUGGCCACCCAAUGGGGAUCCGGAGGUCGGCGGGGGAGGUAUGGCUGGGAAGCAUGUCAGUGAUGUUUCAAGUGAAGUGACAUUUGGGCAAGUUGACUAGCUCACCUGAGGACACAUACAGAGCAAAAGAGAAGAGGCCUAAGAUAUCAUCUGAAAAGACUAGGAGGAAGAACUACCCAAGGACAUUAUUGCAAGAAAGAAAUGAACAGAUACAAAGCUUUUGCCAUUCUGGCAGGUACCUAAUGCCAAGAGCCUGGGGAAACAGUGAUUCCUUUAUACAGAAUUGUUCUAGUUGCUUUCUCUCCUUUUAUCCCUGAAGAAAGAGCUUCCCUUAAAGAGUUGAUCAUUAGUGAGAUUAUAUGACGUUAAUGAAGUCUUUCAGUUUCUCCAUCUGUGUAUUUGCAUUGCACCUGUCCCUGCAGUACCUUGGUGUUUUAACUGCUGUACAUGUCGAGAAAUAUUCACAUUGUUCAUUAUGCAAAGGAGAUCUGGCAGAUUUAGGUCUGGAUGUGGCAAAGUCAGGAGAGCUGUGACAUUGUGAGAUUACCCAUUGAAAACUAAAAAUAAAACCUCAGAGAAUACAAAGAACAGAAGAAAGAGGCUAUUAACAUUCAACUUACAGUGAACAUGAUGAUAUAUACAUUACAAGUAAAAAAAUUUCAAAAAUUAUUUCUUUAGUUUUGACAUAAAAGCAAGUGCGAUUUUUUUUUUCAGGAGAAACCCAAUCAGCUAAUAAUAUGCAAGAGACUGAAAUGACCUUAUUUUCUAAAUUUUAAAAAUAUGCUAAUAAAUACUAACAUAACUUUUUUACAUCUGAAUGUUCACAUCAAAAUUAUGUAUUUUUGUAUUAGUCUUCAGUAACUUUAGUACUUACUCAAAAGGCAUUUUCAAAUUACUAGACAUUUUAUAGCCUGUGUACCUGGUACUUGGUAUCUAGUGGCCCGGUAUACCUGUUUAACUGAAUUUUUCUCUAUAUUUCUUAAAGGGAUGGUUGCUUUUUACAUUCUACAUACAAAGUCUCCCGUGAAAAGAUUAUGUCUUUAUUAUCAAAAUUAAUUAAACACUGCAUACUUGUUUUUUUCCCAGAAAAAGGUACAUUUUUAUACUUAAGAACUGUGGGUUUUAUAUUUUCAACUAUUUAUUUUAGGGACUUUUCAAAACUAUUAGCACAUAGAUAGUAUAGUGUUCUUAUCCUAGAAUUAAACAAAAAUAAUCAUAAGCAUAAUUUUAGUGCUAUUAAUAAUACCCUGUCUUCAUACUGUGCUCCACAGUUUUCAAAGCUCUUUAAUAUGCAUUGCUCCUACUAUCACUUCCCCGGUUAUUACCACCAAAAUCAGGGAGAGAGUACCAUUUCCUGCUUGGAAGUAUGGGCUUUGGGGUCAAAUAAAACUGGAUUUAUGUACUGAUUCUGCUACUUAAUUUGUGAGCUUGAUCAAGUUAUUUUACCUUCUAAGUCUCCAUUUCCUCAUUUUAAAGUAUGGAUAAUAAUACCUCAUAGAGUUUUUGUAUAGAGUAAAUGAAAUAGAACACAGUCCACACUCAGUAAAGUGUCUGGCCCAAGCAACGUUAGUUUCUAUCAUCAACAUCAUAGUCAACACCAUUAUAUUACAAAGAUAUUGUUACAUCAGUAUCCCUCAGGAUUCAACCAGAUCUUGGAAAUAAAGGAAACCUUGAAGUCAAGAUCGUGUGAUAGAUGUGAUUCUCCAUUGUGAAAUAUUUUUAAAUGCCUCAAGCACGUAUCCCAAGCAUACUAGUCCUAUAAUGAUAUCCUCCAGAAAGGGAAGUUCAUGGUGCAUAAUGUGGGAAAAUUCUGCCUGUCACCCUUUGAAUGAUACAACAUAUAUUUGUGUAUCAAAAGCCCUGAUCCAGGAAAGAAGCUUUACCAUCCAUCAGUGUUGCCAAAAGUGCCCAGUCAUGUAGUACUUACUCUGUACCAGACAAUUCCCAGUGCUUUAUGCAGAAACUCAUUUAAUCCUCACAACAAAUCUCUGUGAGGCUGGUACCAUGAUUAUCCCCAUUUUACAGAUUGGGAAACUGAGGCAUAGGUAAACUAUAACAUGCCCAAGCUUCCUCAGCUAUUUAAGAGGCAAUGUCAGGAUUCAAAUCCAAAGAGGCAGGCACCAGCCUCUGGUCUCCCAACCACUACUCAUAUUACUUCUGUCAUUCUCACGGGAAGCUCUGAAAUUUACUAGUUCUAUGCUCAAUCUCCCCAUCAAGAACUAUAAACCCCUUUGGAGACUGACACUGCAUUAUUCUAAUGCACUCAAAUGUUAAGUAGGUUAAAAAGCAGUUCCCUUUUUGUUUUUCCUUUGCAUUCUAAACACCAGGAGGAACCCUCUCGUUUCUAAUGCAAUAUUAGCAAUGUAUAUUAUUUAAGGAAGCAAGCACCUCAAAAAAUUUCUGAAGUCACACCCAUUUGGAUAUGAUGAAUAGGAAGGGCACAAAAAUAGGCACUUAUUCUGCACAAAAUCAAUAUUUAACACUGGAACACUUCCAAGCCACAAGUGGGAACUAAACUGAUGGAGAGAAGUUCAGCAAAGCAGUGAGUUCACUUUAAUUCUGAACGGGUUGCACUGUGGCUGGUGCAUGUAGAAAUAUUUCUAGAAAUGACCUUGAUGUCAACAUUUCACUACUACUACUACCACCUGCCGCUUUCUGUCUUUUCUUACUUGUCAUGCCCUAUCAUUAUGUGAAAAUCAUAUCGCUAUUACAACAUGUAUCAUGGUUCAGCAAUUAGAGCAUGAAGCUCGAAGUCCCUGUUCUUCUCGCUAUUGCUUGAAUAUAUCACUAUGCCAGACCAAGUAUUGAAUGAAUGAGUAGACUAAUGACUGCCCAUGCUAGAAAACAAACUAGAUGAAGAGUUGGGAUGACCUUAGUUCCACGUCCCUGCUGCAUCACUAAUCAUUUUGUCACCUUGUGGAAAUUACUCUCCUUCCAAUUCUGAGACUGUAUUUGCUAUCUGUGCCAACAAAAGUGACAAAAAGUGCAAGGAAAAAAAAGUAAGCAGAGAAAAUGAGAAAUGUUCUUGUCACCCUCAAGUUAAUAAAGACCUGUUUUAAUCACACAGUCUUCCUAAGAAUGUUUUCAACUCCUAGAAGCCUCAGCAUCCUGUCUAAAAAACACUUUCAUCACAAUGAGGCGUGUGCUUUGUGCAUGCUGCAUUCAACUUAGUCAUCUUAUUAAUGAAAGCAAAAUUAUAGAACAUUUAUUUGAGUUGAUUAAUUUAUUCCUAAAUGGGGCAAUUUCAAGGUAUGAAUAACUUCCCAUCUUUUAUAUUUCUAACAAGACAUUUCUUUCCCCUUUAUUCUGCCCUGAGGGUGUGUGAAGGUUAUAAAUAAUUCAAAAGAAUAUAUCCUAAAAUGUCUUGCAUUUUAAUGAAUUCCCAAGAUUGAAAGGAGUUAGUAUUGUUUAAAUCAUACGAAUGUUAUGCAUCAAUAUUUUGUAUUGUUCAUCACAAUACAGCCCUCAUACUAGUAUGAUUUGAUAACAUGGGUGGAGGAAAUAACUUAUUGUAAAGAUAACUAGGAAGUAAUUAUGAAGAAAGUCAUGGGAAUGUUAAAGGAACAUUCUCACAUUUUUCAAAAAAAAAAUUCCAUUGACUUCUACAAAGGAUAUUGUCCUGAAUGAAUCAAAUAUGUUCAUAAUUAUUCAAGAAAAAUAUGAAGAUCCAUUUAUGUAACUGCUGCUAUAGAUGUAGUCCUCUAAGACAGUGUUAUCGAAAGUCUGUAAAAUAUGCUAUAAGGGAUGAUUUGAAGUGCAAAGAAACUGCAGCUGUAGAUUAAAUAAGAUCACAGUGAGAAAGUUACUUUUAAUUCUCUUCUGAUUACCUGGUUAUCCCAAACCUCAGGUCUGAAAGUCUCGGUUAAGUGAUAAUGUCUAUACCAAACUCUUACCAAUUGUUAUAUUUAGCAAAUGAGCCCCCUGAUUGUAAUUAAGUAUUAGGAAGUAUAGUUUUUAGGCCAGUAAGCAUCUCAAAAAAAUUUUGAAGCCACACGCGUUCAGAUAGGAAGAACAGGAAGGCUACAAAAAUAGGUACUUAUUCUAUACAAAAUCAGUAUUUAAUGUUGGAACACUUCCAAGCCACAGGCAGCAAUUAAACUAAUGGAGCAAGACUCUGCUUAGAACUUUUGAAGACAAUGGUAUUGAGUCAAAAUUGAGUCCAGUUGUUUUAUUUCCAUCGUAUUUAUAUUUAUUGUUGUUUGCCCUUUCUGUUGAGACAUGCUGUUUUUCCUUUUAUGGAAUGGCACAAAGUUUUCCUGUUUAUAUUUUGUAAGUUUAAUUGUGGAUCAAUUCAAAGAAAAUAUUAAGUAAACAAUAGUGCAGAUGGCAUGCAGUUGUGACAAAAAUCCUGACGGUAGUGUAUUAAUGACCAAAAUUCAAGAAAUACAGCUCUUCUGGGCUCAAACAUACAGUCUCUCUUCUAACUCUCUUGUCCCACUUCUUUCAACAGCUGCUGGUGCUCAGGGACCUACACAUGUUUUCAUAGCCCUUAUCAGGUUAGCCACAGAAGCAAGGUGCCAAUGAUAGUGAUGGGAAGGGGCACCAGGGCAGCAGAAUGAUGUCACAGAGCUGAACAAAGGGUUGAGAGAUAACAAUGUUUUAUGUCUAAUAUCUCCUAGUAACCAUCAGAUUGAGUGACUGUUUUUAAGCCAGAUCAGAUGCCCUUUGACCCAUAUCUUCACCUACUGAAUCACCCACACUGUUAAAUGGCAAGUAUUAUUUACAAGACAACUUCAAAAAAAACACUGCUAGUCUGCUUAAGAAUUUAACUAAAGCUCCACAGGAAAAUAUGAAGACUAUUGGUUGUUCCAUACAAACCCAACGCAAGAAAUCACCCUAAGUGACAAAUUAUCACUUUCGUCAGAGAAUGCUUACCAAAAAAAUGCUUACAUUUUAACUGGUUUGUUUUUUCUUGAGCUUAUGACAGAGUGAAUUCUAGUUGGUCAGUCUGCCAGUAUUAGUUAUUAGCCUACUGUCAAACUUUAGCUAUAACAUGUGUAUUGUUUUAUUGUUGGUAUAUGACAACCAUUCUAAGUAUUAAGAAAAGUUUAUUCUUGCAUUUGAUGAUGCCAUGUUUUUUAACGCUGGAAAAUUCAAAGAUAAAGUAAGAAAUCUCAGUUCAAUAACCCAGGUUCACCAGGUUAUAUCUUCUGAAACUGAAUUCAAUUUAUACAAUACGAGAUGCUAUCUUACUGCAUAAUGUAAAGUGAAAUGCUGUGUUGUGAAGUUGUGUUAUGCCAAAUUCUAGAUAAUAUCACUCAACCCUCCCUUGACUGGCUUUGAAAAUGAGGCUGCUACAUAGGGCUCAUUUCUUUAAUACUUAAAAGAAAAACAAAUUCAGUCUCCUGUGAGUCAAUGGCCAAAUUCUCUUUACUGAAAUGCUUAAGUAACAUGCUAUUUUGUAACAAUAAUGUAUAGUUCUCUGAGGCUAUUUUUUUCUGGAUAUUUUAUUUGUUCAAUAUUAAGCUUUUAUCAUUGUUGAUGGCAUGUUACUGACCAUCAACGAUAACAUCUUUAAUUAUCCCAAUAUGCUAAUGACAAUACAUUGUUUAUGCUUAUAUUUAUAAAUUAGCUCCCGAGCAAUUAUGAAGGUUUAUAUAUAUUAUAUUCCCUUUUUGAUUUUUAUUAUCUUUGACCUUUUGACUGACUACUGCCCAGUCAUCAUCUUUCAUGGUCUUCUUUCCCACAGAAUCUGCCAUAAUUCUUCACUUGCUUUUUUAUCCCCCAGGUAGUGAUUCCCUUCCCAUCUUACUCUUUUUCUCCCUGAGCUUUGCAUCCUGUGUAUUUUAAAGAAGGGCAAUUAAUGUAUCCAUCAUCCAUCAUUUAAUUAUUAUGGAUUUAUUUCUUCAUCAACUAUGUGCUGAGCAUCAACUGCAUACCAGGCAGGUGGUGGAAAUCAAAUGGAAGAGUAUCCAUAGUUACUGAGACUAAUUUUUUUAAAGCCAAAGUAUUUAGAAUCCACAUCCUGGAAAAGGGGGCAAUGAGAAAUGCUGCCAUGGAAACAAAGAUGAUUGAAACACAACCCUGGCCUUCUAGGAUCAUUUAAUCUAAGAAGGGAGAAAGACAUGUUGACAAAUGUAAGCUGUGUCGUAGAGAAUCAAGACAUUCAUUCUGGUGACUUUGCAUUGCAGAUGUAAAAUGUUAUUUUUAUAUUCAUAACUUUACUAUAGUUAUAACAGCAGAUUAUUUAUAGCAGGGUCGAGUUUUAAUCCCGCUUAUUCUGUAAAGUCUUCGCCAACUAUUUCUUAUAUUUCAAUACCUAUUUUACUUAUGCCUGUAUCACACAUUUUAACAAAUCUUUUAGUUUUUAAAUGGUGGAAGCAACAUGAUGUGAGAGCACAAAGUGGAAGCACCCAUGGCUCCCCUUACUAUUCUUUUAGCUUUCCCGGGGGUCGUGGACUGAGACCAUCAGCUUUCCUUCUUUGCAUGGAAUCCAUGUUCCAUUAGCUGAUGACGGUCCUUUCAGGAUCCCAGCACAGCAGGGCGCAGUACACAACUUUUCUUCUUUUCUACUCUUUCUAAUCAAAUAUAGCAAACUAGUUAACAUUUUAUAUUAUUUUCCUGUUAAUAUGACAGAAAAAGAGUUUAAUUGAAUUACAAAUUUGUAAAGCUUACAAAAUAAUUUAGUUCUUUUAUUAGGAAUGCGCCAGAGACUCGGGUCGGGGCAGGCUGUGGGAACAUAUGCAAAAGCUUCCUUCAAGAAACAUGUACCUAAAUCUGCGUGUCUCAUCUAUAUCCACACUACUCUUUUUAUGAUAGCUUUCUGUCAUUCAUCUUGUCAUUUAACAAAUAUCAAAAAUGAGACUUUAAACACGGAUUUUGAAAAACUGUUUGACUCUUUAAAAGAGUGUACCAAAGGAUGGGAGCAAUGUGUGUAAUAAAGGUCUUUGUUCAAGAGUAAAUGGAUUAGUCUUGAUGGUUUUAUUUUCUUCACUAAACCUACCUCUUACUUCUUCAAAGUUAAUUUAGCUUUGAGUAGACUGAUCUUUUUUGUGAUGCCCCUGAAGUACAGUGCGAAAGCGCAGGCUUUGGAAUCUGUUGGGUGUGGAUUUAAAUCACUACUGUGUGAGUUUAGGCAAGUUCUUUAACUUCUACAGGACUUCACUUUCUCAUCUAUAAAACGAGAGUAAUUUCUUGCUCAUUCUUUCAGGCAUCUAUUUAUUCAUUCAACAGAAAGGUAUUGAGCAUUCUACGCUGUAGAAAUCAUGCGGUGUGUUGAGAUUUUAACACCUAAAAAAAGACACAGGGUCCUAGUCCUCAUGAUACCUAUAAUAUAGUUGGGAAUAUAAAUAGGUAUAGACAGACAAAUUGAAUACAUCAUGAAAAAGCAUUGUGAUAGAAAGGUGCUAUGCAAACCCACAGGAAAAUUAAAUCAUUACAAGGAUUAAAUGAAAUAAUGUAGAAGAGGGUAUGGUAGUGCCCAUCUUAGUGGAUGCUCAAUAAUAAUUGUUGUCUUUGGUCUCUCUGUUGAUAUUCUAACCUCAUCCUCUACUCUCAUGCCUUCUAACUGUAAGUUAAAUUCAUAGAUGGUCUAUAGUAGUAUUAUCCAGUAGAAAUACAACAUUAGCUACAACUAUGUAUGUAAUUUCAAAUUUAUUCUAGUUGCUACAAUGGAAAAAGUAAAAAGAAACAUGAAAUGCAUUUUAAUAAUACAUCUAAUUUAACUCAUUUCAAAAAUAUUAUCAUAUAUAAUCAAUAUAAAAUUAUUUUUAAAUUUUUGCAUUAUGUAUUUUACUUUCCAUCUUCAAAAUUUGAUGUGUAUUUUCUACUUUUCAGCACAUCUCAAUUUAAACCAGCUACCUUUCAAGUGCCCAGUAGCCACAUGUGGCUAGACUGCCAAAUUGGAUCCUACAGGUCUCUGCUUACUAAUUGACCAAGGUUACACUUUUUAAGAAGCAGUGCCCUGUAGGUACUGUAGUAAGCCUCUAAGAGAUCUUUAAUUAAUUAACCAGCACCAUUUUCAUCCUUUCUCCAUCCCUCCUUUUCUCAGGUACUGGGUAUCAAAGAUAAACUGCAGGCUGUGGACCUUGCCCCUCACUCCCAUCCCCAAUUCACUAUACAGUGAAGGAGAGAAACCAAUGAGUAGAUGGCUUACAACAUAUUAUAAUUGCUUGGAAACAGAUAAAGUAUAAAUGUGUUUUAUUCUUAAAAAUUGCUGACAGAUCUUUAAGUGUUCUUACCGUAAAAAAUGAGAAGUAUAUGCAUAUGUUAAUUAGCCUGAUUUAGCCAUUCCACCUCGAUUUAGCCACUCCACAAUGGCACAGUAGUUCAGAGUGUCAAUUUGUACAUGAUAAAUAUAUACUGUUGUUAUAUUUUUAAUAAAUAUAAUAUUCUUACAGAAGAAAUAGAAGACAGGGAAAAUGUGUAUGAAAUUGGAUGAUAAGCAUAGAGGGGAGGGAGUUGCAAAUUACCUGGAAAUAUCUGGAAUGGUCUGCAUUUUAAGGCAGAAAAGCUAGACUAUCCCUUCUAUGUCAGUUUCCCCUGCUUCAAUAAAUAAUAUGCUUCUUGGCUUAUUUCCUGCAACAAAGUACAAGGUUCCGAGGAGGGGUCUGUCUGGUAACAAAAAUGAACUCUGGCAUCCUAGAGGAAUGAUCUCUGGCAUCCUAGAGGAAAACCAUCCCUGAAGCUCCUGUGAUUAGAAUAAACAUAAAGGCACCUCAGGAAGAGACACCCUGACCUGACUUACUUCCUACUUGUUUCAGUUGGCUGCAAUGGACUUUUCUUGUAUUUUUGUCAAUAUGCAAAUCCCUCUUCAAAGAUGUUAAAGCCAAUAAUAUUGAGUAAAUACGUUGGAAUUUAAAAAAAAAAAA